rnacentral:snRNA from 1 species
AUAUUCACUUAUGCAGCACAUACAUUGGAAAUGGAAUGGUACAGAGAAGACUAACAUGGCCAUGUGCAAGGAUGACAUGCAAAUUCCUGAAGGAUUACAUAUUUUC